GAAUAAGUGUUUAAGGGCACAUGGUGGAUGUCUAGGCAUCAGGAGCCGAUGAAGGACGUGGGAGGCCGCGAUAGGCCUCGGGGAGCUGUCAACCGAGCUGUGAUCCGAGGAUGUCCGAAUGGGGAAACCCGGCGCCCGUCAUGGGGCGUCACUCAUGCCUGAAUUCAUAGGGUAUGAGAGGGAACGUGGGGAAGUGAAACAUCUCAGUACCCACAGGAAGAGAAAACAACCGUGAUUCCGUGAGUAGUGGCGAGCGAAAGCGGAUGAGGCUAAACCUUGGUCGUGUCAAGCCGGCAGGCGUUGCGGCUGGGGUGUUGUGGGAUUUCGUCGUUGGGGUUCUGCCGAGCUCCAGAUGGUGUGGUGUGCUGUUAGUGGAAGACUUCUGGAAAGGGUCGCCGUAGUGGGUGAGAGCCCCGUACGCGAAAACAGCGCAUGCGUCAUGGACGUUGCUCCCGAGUAGCAGCGAGCUCGUGGAAUUUGCUGUGAAUCUGCCGGGACCACCCGGUAAGCCUAAAUACUCCCUGAUGACCGAUAGCGGACUAGUACCGUGAGGGAAAGAUGAAAAGUACCCCGGGAGGGGAGUGAAAUAGUACCUGAAACCGUGUGCCUACAAGCCGUCAGAGCCUUUAACGGGUGAUGGCGUGCCUUUUGAAGAAUGAGCCUGCGAGUUAUGCUUCGUGGCGAGGUUAACCCGUGUGGGGUAGCCGUAGCGAAAGCGAGUCUGAAUAGGGCGUGUAGUCGCGGGGUGUAGACCCGAAGCGGAGUGAUCUACCCAUGGCCAGGGUGAAGCUACGGUAAGACGUGGUGGAGGCCCGAACCCACCAGGGUUGAAAACCUGGGGGAUGAGCUGUGGGUAGGGGUGAAAGGCCAAUCAAACUCCGUGAUAGCUGGUUCUCCCCGAAAUGCAUUUAGGUGCAGCGUCGCGUGGUGGAUGCCGGAGGUAGAGCACUGGAUGGGCUAGGGGGACCAAAAUCUUACUGAACUCAGCCAAACUCCGAAUGCCGGUAUUUCUAGCGCGGCAGUGAGACUGCGGGGGAUAAGCUUCGUAGUCGAGAGGGAAACAGCCCAGAUCACCGGCUAAGGCCCCUAAGCGUGUGCUAAGUGGGAAAGGAUGUGGGAUCGCCCAGACAACCAGGAGGUUGGCUUAGAAGCAGCCACCCUUUAAAGAGUGCGUAAUAGCUCACUGGUCAAGUGGUCCUGCGCCGACAAUGUAGCGGGGCUCAAGCACACCGCCGAAGCCGUGGCAAUGCCACAAUAGAUCCGCCCGUCGGGUUCGCCUGGUGGGUGUAGUCGUGGUGUUGGGUAGGGGAGCGUCCUGCAUCCAGUGAAGCGGCGGGGUGACCCAGUCGUGGAGGGUGUGGGAGUGAGAAUGCAGGCAUGAGUAGCGAAUGCAGAGUGAGAACCUCUGCCGCCGAAUGACCAAGGGUUCCUGGGCCAGGUUAAUCCGCCCAGGGUGAGCCGGGACCUAAGGCGAGGCCGACAGGCGUAGUCGAUGGACAACGGGUUGAUAUUCCCGUGCCCGUGACAGUGCGCCCGUGCUGAGGCCGGUGAUGCUAACCAUCCGAACCCGCCUGUGAGCCCUUCGGGGUGAUCAGGGUCGGGGGAGCGUGGGACCCGAUCCGGUAGUAGGCAAGCGAUGGGGUGACGCAGGAGGGUAGUCCCGCCAGGCGGUGGUAGUCCUGGUGUAAGCCUGUAGCCCGACAUGUAGGUAAAUCCGCAUGUCAUCAGGGGUGAGAGGUGAUGCGUAGCCGAUUGAGGCGAAGUAGGAUGAUCCCAUGCUGCCGAGAAAAGCCUCUAGCGAGUGCUGUUGCGGCCCGUACCCUAAACCGACACAGGUGGUCAGGUAGAGAAUACCAAGGCGAUCGAGUGAACUGUGGUUAAGGAACUCGGCAAAAUACCCCCGUAACUUCGGGAGAAGGGGGGCCGGAGGCUCUGAAGCCCUUCGCGGGCUAGGGGCAGCCGGCCGCAGAGACCAGGCCCAAGCGACUGUUUACUAAAAACACAGUCCGUGCGAAGUCGCAAGACGAUGUAUACGGACUGACGCCUGCCCGGUGCUGGAACGUUAAGAGGACCUGUUAGUCCCUUCGGGGGCGAAAAAACACAGUCCGUGCGAAGUCGCAAGACGAUGUAUACGGACUGACGCCUGCCCGGUGCUGGAACGUUAAGAGGACCUGUUAGUCCCUUCGGGGGCGAAGCGGAGAAUUUAAGCGCCAGUAAACGGCGGUGGUAACUAUAACCAUCCUAAGGUAGCGAAAUUCCUUGUCGGGUAAGUUCCGACCUGCACGAAUGGCGUAACGACUUGGGCGCUGUCUCGACCACAGACUCGGCGAAAUUGCACUACGAGUAAAGAUGCUCGUUACGCGCGGCAGGACGGAAAGACCCCGGGACCUUUACUACAGCUUGGUAUUGGUGCUCGGUUCGGCUUGUGUAGGAUAGGUGGGAGACUGUGAAGUGGCCACGCCAGUGGUUGCGGAGUCGUUGUUGAAAUACCACUCUGGUCGAAUUGGGUGUCUCAACCUCGGGCCAUGAUCUGGUUCAGGGACAGUGCCUGGUGGGUAGUUUAACUGGGGCGGUUGCCUCCCAAAAUGUAACGGAGGCGCCCAAAGGUUCCCUCAGCCUGGUUGGCAAUCAGGUGUUGAGUGUAAGUGCACAAGGGAGCUUGACUGUGAGACUGACAGGUCGAGCAGGGACGAAAGUCGGGACUAGUGAUCCGGCACCACCUGGUGGAAGGGGUGUCGCUCAACGGAUAAAAGGUACCCCGGGGAUAACAGGCUGAUCUUGCCCAAGAGUCCAUAUCGACGGCAUGGUUUGGCACCUCGAUGUCGGCUCGUCGCAUCCUGGGGCUGGAGUAGGUCCCAAGGGUUGGGCUGUUCGCCCAUUAAAGCGGUACGCGAGCUGGGUUUAGAACGUCGUGAGACAGUUCGGUCCCUAUCCGCCGCGCGCGCAGGAGACUUGAGGAAGGCUGUCCCUAGUACGAGAGGACCGGGACGGACGAACCUCUGGUGUGCCAGUUGUUCCGCCAGGAGCACGGCUGGUUGGCUAUGUUCGGAAGGGAUAACCGCUGAAGGCAUCUAAGCGGGAAGCUCGUUCCAAGAUGAGGUCUCCCACCACCUUGCGUGGUUAAGGCCCCCAGCAGACCACUGGGUUGAUAGGCCAGAGAUGGAAGCUCAGCAAUGGGUGGAGUUGACUGGUACUAAUAGGCCGAGGGCUUGUUCAU
rfam:Pseudonocardia sp. CNS-004 NODE_50_length_65516_cov_99.9111_ID_141, whole genome shotgun sequence.